rnacentral:rRNA from 1 species
AUUAGGAAUCUUGCGCAAUGGGGGAAACCCUGACGCAGCGACGCCGCGUGAAGGAUGAAGUCUCUCGGGACGUAAACUUCUUUUAUUGGGGAAGAAAAAAAUGACGGUACCCAAUGAAUAAGCCCCGGCUAACUACGUGCCAGCAGCCGCGGUAAUACGUAGGGGGCAAGCGUUGUCCGAAUUUACUGGGCGUAAAGAGCAUUAAGGCGGGCUCUUAAGUGAGAGGUGAAAGGUUCAGGGCUCAACCCGAACACUGCCUUUCAUACUGGGAGCCUUGAGUGCGGGAGAGGCGAGUGGAAUUUCUGGUGUAGCGGUGAAAUGCGUAGAUAUCAGAAGGAACACCCAUGGCGAAGGCAGCUCGCUGGCCUGUAACUGACGCUGUAGUGCGAAAGCGUGGGGAGCAAACAGG